GCAGCGCUCGCGGUAGUCAGACUGCGUGGCGUUGUACUCGGACAUCACCUCCACGAACUUCCGGGACAGUGUGGAGUGCUGGGGGCCCGAGACGGGAGUGCAGGUGUCAGCCCCAGCCCCACCCGGGCCCCAGAGCCUCAGGCGCCCCGCUACUCGCCCCGGAGACCCCGCCCACACCUGUGUCUUUCGGAUCCUCAGGUCUGCGGAGGAGCGGUUCAGGCCUUCCUCCUGCUCGAUGCUCUGCUCGAUGCCUGGGGAACAGCCGGCUGCUGAUAACCUGCCCCGUUCGCCGCUGCCUCGCCGCCCACACACCCGGGAUCGGGCUCGGAACCUCCCCUGGAGGGACUCGUGUUGUCUGUUGAGUGGGGUCACACAGGAAGCAGAGGAAGGGGCAGCGCCACGCACCGAUGCAGGAGGGGCCGGCAAAGGCUAUCCAGGUGCAGAGUUGGGCCUGACAGGCACCAGAGGCCAGUCAUGUUGUCACUUGGCUCGGGGCCUGCCUUGGGUCUCAGCCACAGGUGUCGGCUCUGCCCCUCAGUCCCAGGGGCCGCCGCACAAAAGCCAGUCCAUCACAGGGUUGGAGGCCCUGAUUGAUUACGGCCCCAGCUCCCUUGGGAAUCGGCCAACCCUUUCAAAGUGGCAGUCACAGCUCCGGAAAGACGGCUGGAUUAGAGUGGGGGACCGGAGAAGCUGUGGUGCGGAGGCGGCAGCUGGAGUCGUGAGGCAGUUACAAGCUCCGAGGUGGCUCAGUGACAAAGAAUCUGCCUGCCCGUGCAGGAGAUGUGGGUUUGAUCCCUGGAUCGGGAAGAUCCCCUGGAGGAGGAAACAGCAACCCACUCCAGCAUUCUUGCCUGGAAGAUCCCAUGGACAGAGGAGCCUGGGUGAAGCGGCUGGCUCCAGGCUCCAUUAUGCAGACAAAUGAGCACAGAGAGGUUAAGGCACCCACCUGCCUGUUCUUGCUCCGAACAGUCCCUUCAGUCGGCAGACAGAGCACUAGGCUUCACCACUCAGGCCUGCCUGCUGCCCCGGAGAGGAUCGGCCCCCGUGAGAGAUGAGAAGGGCUGGAGAAGGCUGGAGGGCUGGGCCCGGCCUGCAGCGCGGAGGAAACAUGCCAGCUCCUUCCCCAAGUGUGACUUUUAUAAAUAAGCUCCCUUCGC